rnacentral:lncRNA from 1 species
UGGGCCAACCUAGGUUAGUUUCAGAACUUCUUGUCAUUUUUCUGUUCUUUCUUCUUUGUAUUCUGUUCAUUGAGCUUCCUCGAGAGCUUGUUUGCUAUUUUUCUCAAUUUUUUUCGAGAUUUUUGUGGCUUCCAUUUGAUCCAAAAUAUCUUCUGAUAUCUUCUCUUCUAGCGGUUCUAGGAGUUCGUCAGCCCCAAUUCUCCAAAGUCCUUGUACCGUAGACGAACCCGUAGUUAGGAUCGAACCUCGUCUGGUCUUUGCAUCGGACACCAUCCCCAACUCUUUGACUCCGAAUGAACUCUCACUGAU